rnacentral:lncRNA from 1 species
AUUCGCUGUGUGUGUAGUACAAAUGUGAAUGCAAGAAGGCAAGAGCAAAUCCUCCGUGGUAAAGUUGGGCAUCAGUAGUUGCGAUAAAGCAGCGAUGACUGUGUCAAGCUGUAAAUUAUUAGCUCCCGUUUGCUAACUUCUCUUGUUCUCAAAUAAUUUUGCUCGGCUAAUUAAUGAAGUUAAGAUGUUACCUGCUACAAAUGUGCGAAAGGAGUGCCUUUUUUUGCUUGGUACCAUCACAAAUAUCAGCUGUGGAAAAAUCGUGAUGUCUGGUGAAAUCCUGG